rnacentral:lncRNA from 1 species
ACCCCCUGCUAAAGUAAGUGACUGUGUGACGAGUUUCUCAUUAGUAAUCAUGUUCUUGCAAGUUUAUCUCUAGUCUAUGCCUUGAUAGAUUUUGCCCUUAAUUUCAUCUCCUUUGAUCUCUUGAGCAAAAUUAUAAAUAACGAUACCUGGAAUACUUAUCCUGGUGAAAUGCUACAAUGAGGUGUUUUAUCUGUGCGCUUGCGGAUAGAAUAGAUUAUUUUCUAGAGAGCCUUUACAUUUAUAAAUACCUUUGUACACUCUGGCACCAUGCUGGGGAUGACAACCUAGUAUCUAAGUGGUGUUAGCUAGUGUCAACAUACCUUACGAGAGUCUUGUCAUGCUUUUAAAACCAAGAUCACGUACACACUUCAGUUCACAUAUGCAUUAUUCCUACACAAAGAGUAAUCACCAACAUAAAUCAUACCCAUAGGCUAAAGCCCAUCAUAAAUGCCCUAAGUUCUUAUUAUUACCUCUCUGAUCAUUUAUUGUAUUCAAAGGAUACAUGUGGCUAUGCAAAAAUAUAAAAGAAAAAAAGGGGAGUAAAAGAUGGACAAGUGUUCCAGUAAUUAAAACAAUGGGUACUAGAUGCCCGCCUCCCUGAAUAAUAAAAUAAAUAAAUAAAUAAAUAAUAAAGAUAGCCCAUGUCUUUCCUGAAAAGUUUCAAUAGAGAGUUAUUCCCAAAGAAAUAGAAAUUAGCCACAAAUACCAUAAAUGCACCCAUCCACCAUAUUCCAUACACAUGCACAUCUUGGUUUGAUUGUAUGCCUUGAUUCUCUAUGGAUCCAUUAGUUGAUUUUACAAUACAUGCAUUGCCAAGU